rnacentral:rRNA from 1 species
CUCAAAAUCUAGCCUACCCACUUAUCCACCUUUUUCCCCAUACUAAAAUAUUUCAAGCUAUUAGUAGAGAAGAUCAAAAAUUUGUAUAGAGCUAUAAACAUGUACCGAGAGGGAAAGAUGAAAUAACAGUGAAACAAAUUCAAGCAUAAAACAGUAGAGCUUAACUCUCGUACCUUUUGCAUCAUGGUUUAACUAGUCUAACCAAGCAAAAAGACUUUAAGUUUGACACCCCGAAACUAAGUGAGCUACUUUAAGGCAGCUUAUGAGCAAACCCGUCUCUGUUGCAAUAGAGUGGGAAGACCUUUAAGUAGAAGUGAUAUACCUACCGAACUUAGUGAUAGCUGGUUACUCAUGAAAAGAAUUUUAGUUCAACUUAAAGUCUAAAUCAUAUAUAAAAAAUAAACUUCUGACUUUAAAGUAAUUCUAAUGGGGUACAGCCCAUUUGAAAAAGGAUUAAACCUCUUCUGACGGGUAAACAAUUUUAAAUUAAAUAAGUAGGCCUAACAGCAGCCAUCUUUAAAAAUGCGUCAAAGCUUUUUUCCCAAAAAUAGAAUACCUUUACUUUUACUAAACCCUCCCCCGAUAAUGAGUACUUCUAUAACUAUAUAGAAAAUCUUAUGUUAAAACUAGUAACAAGAAGACCCUUCUCUUAUAUGUAAGUAUAAGCCAAACUGGAUACACCAUUGGCAAUUAACAGCCAUGUGGCAACUUAACAAGAAAACCCCACUCUAACCCCCGUUAACCUAACACAAGAACAUAACAAGAAAGAUUAAAAGAAAAAGAAGGAACUCGGCAAAUAUCAAUCCCGCCUGUUUACCAAAAACAUCGCCUCUUGUAACUAUAAGAGGUCCAGCCUGCCCAGUGACUUAUGUUAAACGGCCGCGGUAUACUAACCGUGCAAAGGUAGCGCAAUCACUUGUCCCCUAAAUAGGGACUUGUAUGAAUGGCAUCACGAGGAUUUAACUGUCUCCUUUUUCCAAUCAGUGAAACUAAUCUUCCUGUGAAAAAGCAGGAAUACUCGUAUAAGACGAGAAGACCCUAUGAAGCUUUAGACAUAUAACACAUGCCCCCCACACUUUUCCUGAAACUCAACCAACAGCACAUUGAUUAUAAGUUUUUGGUUGGGGUGACCACGGAGAAAAAUUAAACCUCCGCACUGCCUAAUCUAAAUUUAAAACUAAAAGUUACAACUUUAAUACUCAACAAAUUGACACAAUUGAUCCAAAUAUGUGAUCAAUGAACCAAGUUACUCUAGGGAUAACAGCGCAAUCCACUUCAAGAGCACAUAUCGACAAGUGGGCUUACGACCUCGAUGUUGGAUCAGGGUAUCCUAGUGGUGCAGCCGCUACUAAAGGUUCGUUUGUUCAACGAUUAAAACCCUACGUGAUCUGAGUUCAGACCGGAGUAAUCCAGGUCGGUUUCUAUCUAUAAAGAGCAUUCCCCAGUACGAAAGGACC